rnacentral:rRNA from 1 species
AUUGAACGCUGGCGGCAGGCUUAACACAUGCAAGUCGAACGAGUGGCGGACGGGUGAGUAAUACAUCGGAAUCUGGCUUAUGGAGGGGGAUAACUACUGGAAACUGUGGCUAAUACCGCGUACCAUAGGAGGGGCCCAAGUGGGAUUAGGUAGUUGGUGGGGUAAUGGCCCACCAAGCCAACGAUCCCUAGCUGGUCUGAGAGGACGACCAGCCACACUGGGACUGGGACACGGCCCGGACUCCUACGUGAGGCAGCAGUGGGGAAUAUUGGGCAAUGGGGGCAACCUGAUCCAGCCAUGCCGCGUGAAUGAUGAAGGCCUUCGGGUUGUAAAGUUCUUUUGGCGGCGAGGCGUUAAUCACAGAAGAAGCACCGGCUAACUCCGUGCCAGCAGCCGCGGUAAUAC